UGAAGAAGAACAGCAUGUAAGCAUGCAUCUGAUAUGAUGCUCUCCUUUUUUCAGUGUUUUCACCUGAUUAUUAUUAUUACAGAGAUUAUAAUCCCAACCUGCAACUCAAGGACCAGCGACUGACCCAAAACUGAUGCCGGGUCAUAGGUUGUAACCCACAGUCCAGGUUCAGCUUCAUCCUAAACUUGUUGGAUGAAGGUACAAAACUUUAAGAUUCUUCGAAAUAAAGGGCCCACAUCAAUCAACCGCCCUGUUUUCAGCAUGCUUUAGGUUGUGUAGCGUGCAUUAACAGAACAAGCAUAUAGCACUAAGCACAAAUGAAACAGGCACUGAGUGACAAGAGACACAGUGAGGGCGGGAGGAGAGCGUGAGAGAGAGGAAGAGAGAGAGAAAGCGGCAAGCAGAAAGCUCAUAGCUAAGGAGCGAGAGCAGCAUCAGAAGAAGAGGAUCGCUUUAAAAAGGACAAAAUAAGGAAAAAACAAAAAAGGAAACUCACCAGUCCUGCUGAUGGUCAUACGUCAACUUUAAGUGGCUAAAAUCUCAGUGAGUAGGAGAGAGAGAGAAAAGUAAAUUCAUCACCACCAUGAAGCUGUGGAGCCGUGUCUGCUUCCUCGUUCUAGCAGUUUCUCCUAUUUGCCUGGGACAAAAUGGUACAAGUCAUGAGCAACCCAACGGUACAGUUUCUCCUGUCCCCUCAAUCACUGCCAGAUACGUUUUAAAAGGAACUGAAAAUAAGAUGCAAUAUGACACAGACCCUGAGAGUACUACAGCAGAGGAAACAAACAGUAUGCCUGGAGGCACAGUGGCUACUACUCUAACAAGUACUAAUGUACCAACAAAAGAGACUACCAGCAUAGUCACACAAGGAGGAGCACACCGUGGUGGUAAAAUGACUCAAACAACACCAAGUACCAGCUCAGGAACUACAGCACCCCCUCCACCUGGCUCGUCUGCAGGUUAUGUUGUCCUGGCGCUUAUCAUCAUAGUGAUUAUAAUUCUGUGUAUCAUCCUCUACCUCUUGAGGCGAGCCUCCAGGACAUAUUCAUUUGACCUCCAGCGUCCAAAUCCUGUUGGUCAUCUCAACCAGCCCACUGGCACCUUUGAGCCAGUCUACCUGGAUGAUCUGGAGCGACCGGUACCUAAAGAUAUUGAAGCCACCGAUGACCUUUCACCUCCACCGGUCGCUAAUGGCACGAGUCUACAGUCGGAGGAAAAGGACUCCACUGGAGAGAACGCUCCUGAGGAACAGCCAGAAGCAAAUGGUGUGGAGACUUCACCCGCUGAAAACACCACUCCCUCACUGAGUAGCGAUGAAGCUGACAAGAUAUCCAACCCACCGAGCAGUACCAGCCUUUUCUUUGAUGCUAUUGGGGAGCAGCAGAAUGAAAACAACAACAACCCAACAGUUUGCUCCAGUGACCCAUUUGUUGAAAUAAACCUGGACGAGCCGGCAUGGUGUGAUCAGCUCCUCAAUUCUUCUGAAGGUUCUUCCUCGGUCUUCCCCUUCUCUCCAUUCUCUUUAUCCUCCUCUUCCUCUUAGCACUUUGAAUGUUAUCCUCUUCCAUCAACAUAUAGGCAGAGAUUGUCUUUCGUAGCACAUGGACAUGAGCACAACAUGUGUUUUUUUUCCCAAAGCUAGUAUGGAUUGUGAAGUGAACAACCAAGGAAUUAACAUCAACCUGUAAACAUGAAGCUAGCUUUAACUGAUUUCUUAUUGUGUUUUUAUAUGUUUUUGUUCAAAUUUAUUGGUCUCAUUUAGUAUUUUUUCUAAGACUAUAUGAAGGACUUUAAACUGAUUUUAAUUGAAUUGUUUGAAACUGAGCAAUUUGGGAAGCUCAAAGAGGCAGUCCAAAAUUGCAUCGAAGAAAAAGAAGGAUUGAAGAAAUGUUAAUCACAACUUUUCCUGCAUUUAACUGACUUAUUAUUAUUGUUGCCUAACCACACUGCAAACUUCAUACCAAAGGAAGUAAAAUAAGCAAGGUAGCUUAUUUGUGACAUCUAGACUAAGCAAUAACGCCUGAACUUUUUUUUUUUUUCCAAAUGUCAUCACUUCAUGAGCGUAUAGAUUGGCUGCAGUUCCUCUCAGAUCUAACAUCCUUUGAAGUAGGCUAAAGUUUUCUCAGAAGAGAUGUUUGGUUUUAAGUCAGAUUAUUUUUGGGGAAAUUAGUGUGUACAAAGUACUCAUAUAGGAAACAGUUGAUUAACUUUUUGUACAGUUUAAUAUUGCAAUAAUAAGUUAUGGUUGUAAUCCCAAGACGCAAAUGGACAUACACAAGAAUGAUGCUUCAUUUGGGAACCACAUCUCAUUACCAAUAAACAUAAAACUAGCUUUAACGCUUCCUUAUGAUUUUUUUGUUUGUUUUAUACAUUAUCAGCACAUCAAACUUAAAUCAAAUGAGUUUUUUCCUAAAAUGUAGCAUUUUUCUACUUCAUUUUAUUUACUAAAGCAUCAUAAAACAAGAUUAAAGUUAACUUUAGCAGUGACAACUGUUACUCUCAAAUUAUCGAUGUAGGCUAGUUUCCCCUAAACCUACAGGGAGAUUUGUGAAAUCUCUGAACUAUAAAAAUACACUCUGUGUCAUAAUUGCUGUAAAUAUUUUUGUACACGAUAUAUUUUUUUUAGUAGAAUACUGUGAAUUAUUCACAUUUAUUCAAGUUCUAUAUUUUAAUUUUGUGACUCUGGAGGUUUCCAUUCUACUAGAUGUUUAAAUGCUUUCGUUUCUUUUAACCUACAUUUAUUUUGUCAUUUUUUUAAUAAACUGGUUUCUUUUCAGAAGCUAACUAAAUAUACAUUUCACCACUGCCAUUUUCCUCAAAGUGCUAAUUCAAACUGAUAUAUAAAUAUAUAAUUUUCUGACUAAUGUUAAAAAAAACAAACAUUGAGAAGUGUUACUUUGUUUCAUGUUAAAAAUCAAAUUGAUUCAAAUAAAACUAUUUUUUUUUCAGAAUUUCACUGUUAUCCCUUCUUCAUUCUUUUUAUUAUCCUGAUGGUUAAAAUGUCUCUCACUUAACUAAUUUUUGGGUUUAAUUCCAUUUGCUGCCUUACUCACACCAAACCUUUUCAGAAAGUCAUCUGUAUAUUCUUUGGUCCAUAUCAAAACUAUAAAACAAUUUUGACUACCUGUCUGUGAGUAUUUAUGCUUCUUCUUAGGGCCAUGGCCCUCAGGUCUCAGUGUCUUCAAUCACUUUAUUAGUGUUAAAUAGCUGAUGUUUUGUUUUUGUUGAUUUUUACACAACACAGAAAGCCUUGAUCAAGCCAGUAUUGUUUCUUCACAGAGCCAGCACACCAUAACAAAAAAUACUUUUGUCAAAUCCUAUAAUUAACU
ensembl:lncRNA